rnacentral:rRNA from 1 species
CGUGAUCCGCCCUUCGGGGUGGUGAAAGUGGCGCACGGGUGAGUAACGCGUGGAUAAUCUGCCCGAGGAUUUGGGAUAACAUCUCGAAAGGGGUGCUAAUACCGAAUAAGCCCACGGGGUCUACGGAUCUUGCGGGAAAAGGGGGGGACCUUCGGGCCUCCUGUCCUUGGAUGAGUCUGCGUACCAUUAGCUAGUUGGUGGGGUAAUGGCCUACCAAGGCGACGAUGGUUAGCUGGUCUGAGAGGAUGAUCAGCCACACUGGAACUGAGACACGGUCCAGACUCCUACGGGAGGCAGCAGUGGGGAAUUUUGCGCAAUGGGGGAAACCCUGACGCAGCAACGCCGCGUGGGUGAUGAAGGCCUUCGGGUCGUAAAGCUCUGUCUGGAGGGAAGAAAUGAUUGGGAGCUAAUACCUCUUGAUCUUGACGGUACCUCUGAAGGAAGCACCGGCUAACUCCGUGCCAGCAGCCGCGGUAAUACGGAGGGUGC